rnacentral:rRNA from 1 species
AUACGUAGGGUGCAAGCGUUAAUCGGAAUUACUGGGCGUAAAGCGUGCGCAGGCGGUUUUGUAAGACAGACGUGAAAUCCCCGGGCUCAACCUGGGAACUGCCUUUGUGACUGCAAGGCUAGAGUACGGCAGAGGGGGGUGGAAUUCCGCGUGUAGCAGUGAAAUGCGUAGAUAUGGGGAGGAACACCGAUGGCGAAGGCAGUCCCCUGGGCCUGUACGUACGCUCGUGCACGAAAGCGUGGGGAGCAAACAGGAUUAGAUACCCUGGUAGUCCACGCCCUAAACGAUGUCAACUGGUUGUUGGGUCUUCACUGACUCAGUAACGAAGCUACCGCGUGAAGUUGACCGCCUGGGGAGUACGGCCGCAAGGUUGAAACUCAAAUGAAUUGGCGGGG